ACACAGUUGACUCAUGCUAUUUUAAUUUAUCUCAGUAUGUUAGCUCAGAAGAGCUUUACUGAAACAGACUCAUGUGGAUUUACCCCUCAUGUCUGAGGAUAGAAAAUAAUAAUGGGAUUCGUAAUUAGAAAAAUGCCAGUUUCAUUACUUCCGACCUCCAUAUUGCAGUUCCAGCGCAGCAUAGCACUGGAGUGCAGGCUGUGAAGGUCUAGGAUGUCAAGCAAGAACAGGAAAUUAACUUGCAGAAGAUACAGGAACAGAAUUCUCACCUUCUCCAGCAGGAAAGACUGAAGAUAAAUGGCACUCAGCAGAUCACCUCCUCCCCUUAAAAGGCGUUAAUCUGUAUGUCUUUGGCAUAUUGAGAUACUGUGGCAAAACACUGGGGCUCUUUAACUUUACAGAGUACAAUGUAGAAGUGCUUUCAGAGUAUAUUAGCACAGUGAUUUCUUUCAGCAGCUUUGAUUUCUCACAGAAGUUAAGAAAAAAUUCACUUAAUCAGUAUACCUAGGCUCAGCUUACCAACUUCUUUAAUACUUAGUGUCUUUACUGGAGAUAGUACUGUGAAUCCUCAAAAAACAAUCAUCA
rnacentral:lncRNA from 14 species